rnacentral:rRNA from 1 species
UGGGGAAUAUUGGGCAAUGGGCGAAAGCCUGACCCAGCAACGCCGCGUGAGGGAAGAAGGUUUUCGGAUUGUAAACCUCUGUCGCAGAUGACGAAGAAAGUGACGGUAAUCUGUGAGGAAGCCCCGGCUAACUACGUGCCAGCAGCCGCGGCAAUACGUAGGGGGCAAGCGUUGUCCGGAUUUACUGGGUGUAAAGGGUGCUCAGGCGGAUUUGUAAGUCAGAGGUGAAAUCUUACAGCUUAACUGUGAAACUGCCUUUGAUACUGCAAGCCUAGAGUAUGGAAGAGAGUGAUGGAAUAUCUGGUGUAGCAGUGAAAUGCGUAGAUAUCAGAUAGAACACCAAUGGCGAAGGCAGUCACUUGGUCCAUUACUGACGCUAAAGCACGAAAGCGUGGGUAGCAAACA